CGCCGCCGCCCGGUUCCCGCUGCACCGGCUGGUCUGGCGGAACGACUUCCGGCAGCUGGAGGCCGCCCUGCAGGGCCAGCUCGCCCCGCGCGUGGCCGGAGGCGGAGGAUGUGGAGCAGCCGGAUCCCCGCGGGCGAAGCUUGCUGCACCUGGCGGUCUCCUUGGGCUACGCGGAGUCUGUCCGCGUC